UAGGGAAUCUUCCACAAUGGACGCAAGUCUGAUGGAGCAACGCCGCGUGAGUGAAGAAGGUUUUCGGACCGUAAAGCUCUGUUGUUGGUGAAGAAGGAUAGAGGUAGUAACUGGCCUUUAUUUGACGGUAAUCAACCAGAAAGUCACGGCUAACUACGUGCCAGCAGCCGCGGUAAUACGUAGGUGGCAAGCGUUGUCCGGAUUUAUUGGGCGUAAAGCGAGCGCAGGCGGAAGAAUAAGUCUGAUGUGAAAGCCCUCGGCUUAACCGAGGAAUUGCAUCGGAAACUGUUUUUCUUGAGUGCAGAAGAGGAGAGUAGAACUCCAUGUGUAGCGGUGGAAUGCGUAGAUAUAUGGAAGAAUACCAGUGGCGAAGGCGGCUCUCUGGUCUGCAACUGACGCUGAGGCUCGAAAGCAUGGGUAGCGAACAGGAUUAGAUACCCUUGGUAGUCCAUGCCGUAAACGAUGAGUGCUAAGUGUUGGGAGGCUUCCGCCUCCCAGUGCUGCAGCUAACGCAUUAAGCACUCCGCCUGGGGGAG
rnacentral:rRNA from 1 species